GGAUUAGAAACCCGGGUAGUCCACGCCGUAAACUAUGGAUGCUAGCUGUUAUCGGUAUCGACCCCGGUAGUAGCGAAGCUAACGCGUUAAGCAUCCCGCCUGUGGAGUACGGUCGCAAGACUAAAACAUAAAGGAAUUGACGGGGACCCGCACAAGCGGUGGAGCGUGUUGUUUAAUUCGAUGAUAAGCGAAGAACCUUACCCAGGCUUGACAUCCUUGGAAUUUCUCCGAAAGGAGAGAGUGCUUUAUUGAACCAAGUGACAGGUGUUGCAUGGCCGUCGUCAGCUCGUGUCGUGAGAUGUUUGGUUAAGUCCAUCAACGAGCGCAACCCUUGUGAUUAGUUGAAUUUUUCUAAUCAGACUGCCCUGGUAACAGGGAGGAAGGAGGGGAUGAU
rnacentral:rRNA from 1 species